rnacentral:lncRNA from 1 species
GGUCUCUCCAGCUGGGCAGGGGAGGGAGCAGCGGGACUCGGGGGCCGUGAUGGCUUGAUCCCCCUCACCUCCUUCCAGGCCAGUGAGAGAGGGCGGAGGGGAGCUGCCCAGAGGCCCGCCCCAGCAGUGUGGGUGACCAGGGGCCCAGCACCGAUCCAGCAGCAGAGAUGGGCCCCAGGUGCCUCCGAGUCCUUCCUUCCCCGGCCCCAAGGUGCUGCUUUACACUCCCGAAGGCCUUGGCCAGGCCUGAGGUGGGGAUGGGGACACCAGGUCACCCGUCACCAACUCCCUGAGCACCCUCACCCUGGAGACCUCGGUUCCUUGUCUGAAAGGGAAGAAAGGGGGAGCAGGCUUGAACUGAGGCCUUUUGGGGUUAAAAUCAAUCUUAGGCAUGUUUUCUAGGAGGCCUCGGGUGUCUCUGUCUUUGGCCAACUUUUGGAAGCCGAAUCACUAUAGGGCAGAGGCGAGGCAGGCCUGCUUGCUGGGCAGGAGGCAGUGGGGGCUUCCCCUUAGGGGAGACGCAGGGUAACCAUGGACCCCUGAGAGGCAGAGCUGGUCUGGGAGGCCCCAAAGCCCCUGCUGCUCCUCCACCCUCCUUCUGCCUACUCCCCCGUGCCUGUCCCGAGGGCACACGGACAUCCCACCAUGUGCUUGGUCCUGGGCCCGGAGCCGAUGGCUGGGGUUCUGGGAAGUUGCACCCCUCUGAGCCUCCUCUGAUGAGGCCUUCCAGUCCAAGGGGAGAGAAGUUCCUGGAGACGGAGGAAGCGCCGGGCGAGCAGCACAGGUGCCCGAGAGGAGUCUGGCUCUGAGGCUUGAGUCCUUCCUGUCCCUCUGUGCAGUCUCGGCGGUGCCUGAGACCCCUGGGCUUCAACCCUGUGUGCUUCCCACUUCUGUUUCCGGAGUCCAGAGGUCCUCACUGUCCCGCCUGGCAUACACCCUGGAGCUGGCCAACUCCUCAUCUUCUGUCCUUCCAGGGGACAAAGACUGUCGGUGCUGGCAUCAGGAACCAGGACGGGCGAGGCCCGGUAUGCUGGGCAGGUGUGUUUCUCCCCUUCCUUAUCAGUGCUUUUCAACAACUUGGAAUGUUGGCCCAAGAUUUGCCUUUUCCCUGGAAUACUGGGGAGUGAACCCAGAGUUCACACUGAGCCACUUCUCCAGCCCUUUCUUGCGGGGUGGGGUUUGAGACAGUAUGAAGUUCGGGCUGGCCUUGAACUCAUGACGAUCCUCCUGCCUCAGCCCCCUGAGGGCUGGGACUACAGGGGUGAGUUACCACACCUGGUGGGCCCUUUUUAUUUUGAGACAAGGUCUCCCUAAGUUGCUAAAUCUGCCAGACCGGGCUCAAAAUUUUGAUCCCCCUGCCUUAGCCUCCUAAGUGCUGG